rnacentral:rRNA from 1 species
AAGCCAGGUGGCGACACCGCGCGGAACCCGAAAGCCGUUCUCAGUUCGGAUCGGAGUCUGCAACCCGACUCCGUGAAGCUGGAUUCGCUAGUAAUCGCGCAUCAGCCAUGGCGCGGUGAAUACGUUCCCGGGCCUUGUACACACCGCCCGUCAAGCCAUGGGAGCCGGGGGUGCUUGAAGUGCGUCGCCGCAAGGCGCGCCCUAGAGCAAAACCGGUGACUGGGGCUAAGUCGUAACAAGGUAUC